CGGCGGGGCGAACGAGCGGGCCCGAGGCCCCGCGCAGCCCGCGAGCGAGCGCUCAGCACCUCUCCCUGAGGCCGCCGCCGCGUUCAGCUUCGCCGUGGUCGACGCCAGAGCAGGGUGCGGAACAGUGGGGGCCGUUCUGGGAGCCGCACCCGCGCCGGGACUCGGCCCCACCGCACCUGCCGCAGCUUCUCGGCUGCUACCGCCGCUCGGCUUCCAAGAUGGCCGCUCGAGGAGGGGGAGGUGGCCGGGGCGCCGCUUCCGCUUCCGGUGCGCCGUUUGCUAGGGGAAGCGCUUCUCUAGGCAGCUCGGUGAAGGGCUCUACUGUCCGUUCCCGGGUGUCCCGGGUGUCUCCUCUCAGUCUCGGAAAGGGGAACAGACUUCUGUCUUCAUUGGACACACAGGGACACUGAAGUCACAUAGUGCUGGAUCACCCGGAUCCUUGUCAUGGGGAACCCUACAAUGAUCUACCCUGCCUCCAGAACAAAUGCCAUACCCCAACAUCUGAAAGUAUGUGAUGCAUUUGCCUGGGAGAACACCUAUGCUCUCACAGAUUCAACAUUAGUGAGGGCUGGGAUGCCUGCUUUGCUAAAAUACUCAGUUGUAAGCCCCACUUCCAGCUGGACCGUGGGCUUCAUUUGCAGAAUCUGAGUCAUCUGGACAUCCAGUACAAAGUGGACUUCAGACUGGGAUCAGCCUAGUCCUCAGGGAGAAAAGGCAAGAUCAUCUCCUUGGAAGGAUUUCAGACCUUGGAGACUGGAAUCAAGGUCAUGGUUCACAACUACACACACCCUUCUAGAAUGCAGUGGCUUCGGUUUCUGACCAGGGACACAGAAUACCAUUGGAAUUUGAGAGGCAUGCCUGGUGGCCUGCUUCAGCAGCUUGUGACGGAGAUCUGCUCCAGCUAGAACCCGGCUCUGCAGCCACAAGUGACACCCAGCGUUGGGGUGAGCCUGUCAGGGCUCUGAGGCAGUGACUCCUAAUGGGCCCCGUCAGCAACCCCUCAGGUCACUGCUCCUACCCAGCCUACCAGCACCUGGAAACCCAACCCACUGGUUUUCUUUUAUCUCCCACUGCCCCAGGCCUUGUAGGCCAGAGAGGAUAAUGGGGUUGGGAGUUAGGCAUCAGUCUCCAAAGCACUACAGGAUGACCACUGGUGCCGUCCCUCCCAGGGUGUCUGUACAGAUUCUUCGCAGGAGCCAAGUCAUGUGGGGUGGACUAGCCAGUGUCCCUGGUGCUCUUCACAUUCCACUGUGGUACUGGAGCAGGGAGCAUGUAGCUCUGCAAGUCCCUGUGCUGUGCUGUGCUGUGCUGUGUUGUGCUGUGCUGUGCUCAGAGAGUAAGAGACCCAUGGAGCUAAGGCUAGAGCCAGAGCCGGAGGUGGGCGCACCCCCCCCACCCCCAGGGACACAUCCUGCAUCUCUUUUGCCAACACCCUUAUACCUCUGCCCCUACCCUAGAAGCAGUGUGGCCAAGGUGAACAUUCUCUUAUCAGGAGCUUAAAUACCAUAUUGAGGAUGAAGCAACAGUAUACUCAGAGUGGAUAGACACAGGAUGAGGGCUGGGUAGAGGCAGUCCCCUCCACAUUCCUGUGUAUAGGUGGGAUACAGGAGGCCCUGCUGGACUUACUGCCCAUCUGCCCACAGGUUCCACAGCCGUUGUGCCAUAGGCAGCCUGUGGAGACUGUGGUUCAGCUCAUCUGUCUCGUCCGUGCUGGAGCUGCUACUGGAUGUCUCUGCCCUUGCCCGGCUGCUACUGGGUUUUCACUGGCUCUGCUGGGGGAAGCUGUCCUAGCUGGGAGUCGAUACUGCUUCGGGGCAGUCCCACACCAUAUCAGAGGCCAGCCAGAGACCUCCACCCCAAGCUCCAGGGGAUGAUGCCAGAGGCCCAGAAGGAGAUAACCCCACAGAGGUGCUCUCGGGGUCUUUGGAGGAAGUUUCAGUGUAAGAAUUGGGCUAAAUUCCAGGCCCUUGAGAUUUUGUUUGUUUUUCGAGAGAGGGUUUCUCUGUAGCCCUGGCUAUCCUGAUACUUGCUCUGUAUAGACCAAGCUGGCCUCGAACCCUAGA